AGUAGACCGCCUGGGGAGUACGGCCGCAAGGUUAAAACUCAAAUGAAUUGACGGGGGCCCGCACAAGCGGUGGAGCAUGUGGUUUAAUUCGACGCAACGCGAAGAACCUUACCUGGCCUUGACAUGCAGGGAACUUUCCAGAGAUGGAUUGGUGCCUUCGGGAACUCUGACACAGGUGCUGCAUGGCCGUCGUCAGCUCGUGUCGUGAGAUGUUGGGUUAAGUCCCGUAACGAGCGCAACCCCUAUCCCUAGUUGCUAGCAGUUCGGCUGAGAACUCUAGGGAGACUGCCGGUGACAAACCGGAGGAAGGUGGGGAUGACGUCAGGUCAUCUGUAANANGACGGCCAGGGCUACACACGUGCUACAAUGGUGCGUACAGAGGGCUGCAAACCCGCGAGGGGGAGCUAAUCUCACAAAACGCAUCGUAGUCCGGAUCGGAGUCUGCAACUCGACUCCGUGAAGUCGGAAUCGCUAGUAAUCGCGAAUCAGAAUGUCGCGGUGAAUACGUUCCCGGGCCUUGUACACACCGCCCGUCACACCAUGGGAGUGGAUUGCACCAGAAGUGGUUAGUCUAACCUUCGGGAGGACGAU
rnacentral:rRNA from 1 species